AACUGAAAAAGUGCUAGGGGAAGGGAAGAAAUUACUUUUUCCGUGGGAAACUGCCCUUCACAGAGUCUUUUAGGGAGUGCAAAUCUGGCUUCAGGCUGAGUUGUUUUCUGAGGAGAGCAGGGAGACAUGGUGAGGGCACAAAGGGCAUGCAUACCACAAGAACACUACCUGCAUUUUCUAAUUCCUGUUACAUCGUUCCACACAGUUUUCAUAACAUAUGUAUGUGAUUGGAGAUACUGCUGGAAGCAGACUGCUGAACUGAGAUGCCAUGGGCUGACUGGGAAUGGCAUUUCCGCCCCUUGGAAAUAAUUCAUAUUAACAUUCACAAAGAUGCUUCCAAAGUAAACGGAUUACUUAUUUAUUUAUCUACUAUUGCUAUCAUUUAGGUGCCAGGCAAAACCAUUUCUUUUCCCCCUGACUUUUAAGAAUGAGUUAAUGUUAGCAUAUUUUCCACAUUAUAUGAACUGCCUUGUGAGCAGACUGUGGCUAUUUAAAUCUGCAAUUUCAGUCUGGCUGCAUAGGCCUUCUUUUCUUAGAAUUUGAGAAUGGUAGAGUUAAAAGGUACCCAAAGGAUCAGGUAGAUCCACCCCAUACUAAUGAAGGACUUUGCAACUGGAGAGUCCAUGACAGGUGGCUUUGUUUAUAAAGCUCCAUGACAAAGCAUCCACCACCUCCAAGGGAAACUAGUCAUGGAUCUGCUGCCGCCUGGCUGCUGCCCUCUGGCUGGAUCUGACUUGUUCACACAAGACUG
ensembl:lncRNA